GCCUGGUAAGCUAAUCUGGUGAAAGCGCCUGCCUGAAGAGCAGGAGAGGCUGGUUCGAAACCAGCAUCAGGCA
rnacentral:tRNA from 1 species